ensembl:lncRNA
GCUAUGUGGAAAUGAAGCGCAGCCUUGCUGCAGCCUCUGUGGGGGAGCUGACGUGGGGGCCUGGGCCUGGGCAGGGUGUGAGGAGUCCAGGGUUUCCAGGCAUGAAGAAUCAAGGCUGGCAGAACCUCCGUGGCCACGACAGUCUUAUUCUCUCUGGAAGGACUUGUGGGUGUCUGAGGUACAAGUCAGGAAGACUGAUGGGAUGGAGAGCUAUUGGAAAAAGCUACUGACAAGGUAACACCACUGACCACAGCAAAAGUUGCACAGCACAGCCAACAGGAAAGAGGAAGACAAACAAUGUGAAUCAACACAGAAUGCUGGUCAGAAUGCAGAAGAUACAUUGCCAUGAACUGCUCAUGCUAGAAAUAUUGAGUGAAAAAUGGGAAUUUGCCAGAAAGCAACAUUAAAAAUAAAGUCCGACCCCAUUCUGCCUGACCAGAACACAGCACUAGGAGUUGUGCUGCCCAUUCUCAGUAAGUGACAAACAAAAUAAAGAUUGGUAUGAAUGAUGAAAAGAAGGAAAGCUCCACGAAAAGAUAUCAGGAGAAGACUCCAGGGACAUCUGAUCAAGCCAUCUCAGAACAGGACCACAGGAAUGGAGGUUACAAGGCAGACUUAUCCAUGAGCUAUUUGACCCAGCCACACCAACUGCAUUUUAAAGAGGGAUGAUGAGG